CCUAAUACAUGCAAGUCGAACCCNNNCUUUAGUUUUAGUGGCGAACGGGUGAGUAACACGUAAGUAAUCUGCCUCUCAGACGAGGAUAACAGUUGGAAACGACUGCUAAGACUGGAUAGGAAGUUUUAAGGCAUCUUGAAACUUUUAAAAGACCUGAAAGGGUAUGCUGAGAGAUGAGCUUGCGGCACAUUAGUUAGUUGGUAAGGUAAAGGCUUACCAAGACUAUGAUGUGUAGCUGGACUGAGAGGUUGAACGGCCACAUUGGGACUGAGAUACGGCCCAAACUCCUACGGGAGGCAGCAGUAAGGAAUUUUCGGCAAUGGAGGAAACUCUGACCGAGCAACGCCGCGUGAACGAUGAAGUAUUUCGGUAUGUAAAGUUCUUUUAUUAAAGAAGAAAAAAUGGUGGAAAAAUCAUUCUGACGGUAUUUAAUGAAUAAGCCCCGGCUAACUAUGUGCCAGCAGCUGCGGUAAUACAUAGGGGGCAAGCGUUAUCCGGAUUUAUUGGGCGUAAAGGGUGUGUAGGCGGUUUAAUAAAUCUAUGGUGUAAGUGCAACGCUCAACGUUGUGAAGCUAUAGAAACUGUUAGACUUGAGUUGGAUAGAGGCAAGUGGAAUUCCAUGUGUAGCGGUAAAAUGCGUAAAGAUAUGGAGGAACACCAGUAGCGAAGGCGGCUUGCUGGGUCUUAACUGACGCUGAGGCACGAAAGCGUGGGGAGCAAACAGGAUUAGAUACCCUGGUAGUCCACGCCGUAAACGAUGAGUACUAAGUGGUUGGGUUAAACCAGGGCUGAAGUUAACACAUUAUGUACUCCGCUUGAGUAGUACGUACGCAAGUAUGAANCUUAAAGGAAUUGCGGGNCUCCGCACAAGCGGUGGAUCAUGUUGUUUAAUUCGAAGAUACGCGAAAANCCUUCCCAGGUCUUGACAUAACGUGGCAAAGCUAUUGAAAGAUAGUGGAGGUUAUCCGCGUUACAGGUGGUGCAUGGUUGUCGUCAGCUCGUGUCGUGAGAUGUUGGGUUAAGUCCCGCAACGAGCGCAACCCUUAUUGCUAGUUACCAUCAUUUAGUUGGGCACUUUAGUGAGACUGCCAAUGAUAAAUUGGAGGAAGGUGGGGAUUACGUCAAAUCAUCAUGCCCCUUAUGACCUGGGCUACAAACGUGAUACAAUGGCUGUUACAAAGAGUAGCUGAAACGUGAGUUCUUAGCCAAUCUCAAAAAAACAGUCUCAGUUCGGAUUGAAGUCUGCAACUCGACUUCAUGAAGUCGGAAUCGCUAGUAAUCGCGAAUCAGCAUGUCGUGGUGAAUACGUUCUCGGGGUUUGUACACACCGCCCGUCAAACCACGAAAGUUGACAAUACCCGAAACCAGUGGCCUAACUUGUAAAAGAGGGAACUGUCUAAGGUAGGGUUGAUGAUUGGGGUUAAGUCGUAACAAGGUAUCCCUACCGGAAGGUGGGGAUGGAUCACCUCCUUUCU
rnacentral:rRNA from 1 species